UGAAAAGUUAGGACUGCAAAGCUUCCAUGAGAGACCAGAAGUGAUCAGAUAUCAGAAGAGCUAUAUUAGUGGCAAAUAGACACACUUGAAGUGCAACUACAGAGAGAUCACAAUUUGAGGCAGACAAUUGUUUUCAACUAAUGCUUAGAGAUGGAGAUUUAACUCUUGAACAGUUGCUGCAUAAUGCUCAAGAACACAAUUAGGAUCAGAACCUCGUCAUGCCAGGUGCUGACAAACACACAGGAAGAUGCAGCCCUUCUGCAAAAGAGCUUACAAUUUAAGGUUUAGGCCAGCCACAUAACUGAAGGAACAAGAGGGUGAAAGAGAACUACAAAUGAAGUAUUAGACGUUUCAGCGAGAGAGGGCCUAAUUGCCCAUGUUUCUCCUGUAAUAAAAAACAGAAAUCUGAUAAAUGGAAGGUGGAUCAAGGCUCCUCUUGCAGGAUUAAAAUAGCCAGCAGCCCAACUACGGAUCCGAUGACGGAAUCCAGUACCAUGCAUAGAAGACACCAGCUCUUUGCUGGUUAUGUUGUGGGUUCUGCUAUGGACUACCUGCAUUUAAAUGAGUGAAUGAAUUCUAAAGAAAUAUCUAUAGUGCCUCAGUAGGGAAUAGUGUGUCCAAAAGACAUGCACACAGGGCAGCACAUGUGGCAGUGAACUCUGGUAUACCUCAACAAAGAGAGCUAGGAGAAAGAAGGGCAGACCAAACAUGUUACAGAAAAAAAGCAGAAUUUGACCUGCUUACACGAAUCCACUUCUAAUUCAGUAUAUUCAAAAGUAGCUGUCAUGGAAGCAUUUAUAACAAUAAGGGGCAUCCUCCUGUCCUUCCUACAUAGAAUAGAAUGAAGGCACACAUUGAAAAAACUCCAGCUAGUACAAAAUGCAACAGCCAGAUUGAUUAGCUACAGGAUUCUGAACAGAUCACCCUGGUGCUUCGUUCCCUGUACUCAACGAAGAGCCAACAGAAAUUACAAUUCAGUGCGUCUGUCCUGACUCUCUCAGCCCUCCAUGGGAGGAAAAUGAUUCUUAAUAAUUACACUCACCUGUAACAAACACUUAAAGCUUGGGCUCACAUAUAGAAAAGACUGCAGAUGUGUCUGUGGUUAUUUUGUGAUAUUUCCAUACAUCAUCUUUUAAAAUAAAGUGGAAACCAUCUCCAAAAUUCAUCUUUUCCACUCCAUUCUUACUAUUUAGAUCUUUGCAUGGGCCCCAAAUCUCUAAACUUGUCCCUAUCAUUGAAAUGAUUGCAAGAGCAUCAUUUAUCUUGGCCCACAAUCCCAAUCACAUCUAGCCCCUCCCCAAAUCCUUCAGUCAUUUUUCCUUACCUCGACACCCACUUGAAAACCUUCAUUCUUGCCCUCAAAUUAUUGUACAAUUUCAUAUCAGUAUCCUAAGUACUUGUUUUUUAUCCUCUCUUUUGCUCCCUAUACUACUCUUGGGGGAAU